UUCGCCUUCCGCCAUUAUUGGGAGGCCCCCCCAGGCACAUGGAACUAGCCAUGUGGUAGAAGGGAUUCUAUCAUGAAAAACAACCUUCUGAGAUCAAAUUUGUUUGAGUACCUUCGGGUCAAAACUAGCCCCAUGAAGUACAGUGAAACCUUAAAUGGAGAGAAAAUAAAGAUCACACAUUCUUCAAAUUUUCUGUGGAAAAGCAUGAACAUAAAAAUGAGAGAGAAUUAAAAAGAAACACUUGGCAGCUUUUACAUGCAGCCUCCUUGUUACGACCCACUAAUUCGACAAGGAUCAAAUCGUCAACUGUAAGAGGAAUUGGAGCCAGACCUUUUGAGUCACAGACUGAUAGCUGCCAUUUUCAUUAGGUAAA